GAUGAACGCUGGCGGCGUGCCUAAUACAUGCAAGUCGAGCGAACAGACGAGGAGCUUGCUCCUCUGACGUUAGCGGCGGACGGGUGAGUAACACGUGGAUAACCUACCUAUAAGACUGGGAUAACUUCGGGAAACCGGAGCUAAUACCGGAUAAUAUAUUGAACCGCAUGGUUCAAUAGUGAAAGACGGUUUUGCUGUCACUUAUAGAUGGAUCCGCGCCGCAUUAGCUAGUUGGUAAGGUAACGGCUUACCAAGGCAACGAUGCGUAGCCGACCUGAGAGGGUGAUCGGCCACACUGGAACUGAGACACGGUCCAGACUCCUACGGGAGGCAGCAGUAGGGAAUCUUCCGCAAUGGACGAAAGCCUGACGGAGCAACGCCGCGUGAGUGAUGAAGGUCUUCGGAUCGUAAAACUCUGUUAUUAGGGAAGAACAAAUGUGUAAGUAACUAUGCACGUCUUGACGGUACCUAAUCAGAAAGCCACGGCGAACUACGU
rnacentral:rRNA from 1 species